GGGAACUGCGUUNUGAACUGGGUGACUAGAGUGUGUCAGAGGGAGGUAGAAUUCCACGUGUAGCAGUGAAAUGCGUAGAGAUGUGGGGGAAUACCGAUGACGAAGGCAGCNUCCUGGGAUAACACUGACGUUCAUGCCCGAAAGCGUGGGUAGCAAACAGGAUUAGAUACCCUGGUAGUCCACGCCCUAAACGAUGUCGAUUAGCUGUUGGGCAGCAUGACUGCUUAGUAGCGAAGCUAACGCGUGAAAUCGACCGCCUGGGGAGUACGGUCGCAAGAUUAAAACUCAAAGGAAUUGACGGGGACCCGCACAAGCGGUGGAUGAUGUGGAUUAAUUCGAUGCAACGCGAAGAACCUUACCUGGUCUUGACAUGUACGGAAUUCUCCAGAGACGGAGGAGUGCCUUCGGGAGCCGUAACACAGGUGCUGCAUGGCUGUCGUCAGCUCGUGUCGUGAGAUGUUGGGUUAAGUCCCGCAACGAGCGCAACCCUUGUCAUUAGUUGCCAUCAUUAAGUUGGGCACUCUAAUGAGACUGCCGGUGACAAGCCGGAGGAAGGUGGGGAUGACGUCAAGUCCUCAUGGCCCUUAUGACCAGGGCUUCACACGUCAUACAAUGGUCGGUACAGAGGGUAGCCAAGCCGCGAGGCGGAGCCAAUCUCACAAAACCGAUCGUAGUCCGGAUUGCACUCUGCAACUCGAGUGCAUGAAGUCGGAAUCGCUAGUAAUCGCAGGUCAGCAUACUGCGGUGAAUACGUUCCCGGGUCUUGUACACACCGCCCGUCACACCAUGGGAGUGGGGGAUACCAG
rnacentral:rRNA from 1 species